GGAGAGGUGGCCGAGUGGCUGAAGGCAACGGUUUGCUAAACCGUCUUAGGGGUUUUAACCUCUAACGAGGGUUCGAAUCCCUCCCUCUCCG
rnacentral:tRNA from 2 species